rnacentral:lncRNA from 1 species
CGCCCAAUAGGAAUAAAAAAGGAAAAAAAGAAGGCCAAAGCAGCUAAAUCUCAAGAUGCAUCCUCUCAACUUGUUGAGCUUAGGGCAAUGCAAGAGUCGCAAAAAGAAAGAUUUGCAGAAAUAGCAGAAUUGAAACAACAAAAGGAGACGCAUUUCCAAAUAAGAGAAAGAGAGGUAACUUUGAAGGAGUAUGAAAUUAUCAUGAAGGACACAUCUGAUAUGAC